UUCAGUCACAGUUCUAGAAAUUUCCCUGUGACCCAGACUUGGAGAUUCCUUUAGGACUCCAUGGGCUGACUUCUCCCUUGUCUCACAUUUUCUUCCAGUAGGGGGACAAGCAAUCAGCUACACUCAGGGUGCAGCGUCCCAGGUCUCAGAGCCCACUGGAGGCUCACAAGUGGUGCCCAAACAGGGACCUGAAGGAGAAACCUCCCACUGAAGUGAUGAGGUGACAGCAGUGGUCUCGACUCCACAGAAGGACGGCCUCCUCUGGUGGCGCAGGUGGUUGAGCACCACACUGUGAAGCUGUCUGCAACCUCUGCAGUGCUGGUUCGAUCCUGGCUGGCUGGCGAGGGUCCCACAUGGCAUGGCAGACCUCUCCUGUCACACCCGCUGCUCCCCUCAGCAGUGUAUUUUGUCAGUCUGCCUGUUCUGUUCCCCGCUCUGUCCCUGGUGAAUCCUCUCACUCCCCCACGCAUCUGACCUAUACCCCCGUUCUUUUUAUAAAUAAAUAAAUAAAUCUUUAAAAAAUAUGCUUGUUCUCAGUGAGAUAAAACCAUAACAACUUAAAGCCAAAGGAUCAUUUCUUUAAAAUAUAAACUCAAAAAA